rnacentral:tRNA from 2 species
CGGGACGUGGCGCAGCCUGGAAGCGCACCUGCUUGGGGUGUAGGGGGUCGGCGGUUCAAAUCCGCCCGUCCCGACCA